GGGAAAACCAGUCUUAUACACAUGCAUCUCUCGGCUUUUCAGUUUUCGUUUUUCAUCCGAUUAAAGAAUGCAAGUUUUUUGUUUCCAAAUCCAAAUCCCUCCAGCCGUCGUGUUAAUUUUGGUAGCCGAAAACUGGUUUUCAAGAUUAUAGAACUCCUCCGCCGUCUAGGCACCAGAAACAACUGGUAUUUAUAAUGUUUUAACGCUUAGUUAGGAAACAAACAGACGAGAGAAAAAGAAACGCUAAGUUUAAGCUGGAUUUUGGAAUUUUUAUGGAAUGUUUCCAUUGUCUAUGUUCUAAGACACCUCAUCUGUUGUUUGUUCAUCUUCUUUUCCAACAAAGAGUCGGACUUCAUCGAUUCCAUUUUUUAUUAGCAUCGAGACAAUCAAUUUCCCAACACUUAAACACUCCCAGAUGAAUCAUUAAAGAACUAAAACUAAUAGCCAACUCAUAUAUCAUCCAAUGAUCAUAUAUAAGAGUGAGGAGGAAAAGCCAACCGCCAAGACCGAAGUCUGUGAUUUAUGCGCAAUUUCAUACGCCACUGCAUAUUUAAUGAUUGUUUGCGCAACAAUUACAAGGAAAUUGCCAGAACAAAGCAGAACACAUCGCAGAGAUCCGUGUGGGUUUUAUCAAUCAAACACAAAGAGGUGUAGUAGAGCCGGGCAAUAUUGAAUUGUUAUGAAGCUAUCAUUUCAAAAAUAGAAAUAAAAAAAUUUAACUUGGCUAAAAUUACAUUAAAAAACUUGCAGAACAAAAUUGUUAUAUUUUCAUUUUUGUAAGAAACAAUCAACAUUAUGAAUAAUUAUAGACAGGGUAUGAAACUUAUUUUUAUAAACAAUGAAACAUAUAUAUUUUGGCAUUUGUUAUUAUUAUAACUAUGACAAGUAAUAAUAGUUGUAUUAUUAAAAGAUUAUGCUAAGGUAAUGAAUAUUUGACCCCUUCAGCCCAGGCCACUGGUUCAAAAACAUACUGAAACCAUUACAGAAAAAACUCAUGCAAAGUGCAAGUGGGAGGCGUCCAUUGAGAGAAUUUUGGCGACAACAACCAGAAACAACUGGAUCAACAACACAACAACUAACAACACAAUGGGAAUACUAAGGCAAUAUGCAGUAAUAAGCAAUAAAUGGAAAUAAAGGUCAAGUUUAAGUGAUGGCGAUGACGAGAGAAGUAAAAAACAGAAAUACAAAACAAAAUACGAAGGCAAAAAACUGACAGAAUCUACAGAUGUAAUGAAAAAUAAACGAAUAAAAAAAAUA